UACGAAGGGGGCUAGCGUUGUUCGGAUUUACUGGGCGUAAAGCGCACGUAGGCGGAUCGAUCAGUCAGGGGUGAAAUCCCAGAGCUCAACUCUGGAACUGCCUUUGAUACUGUCGAUCUGGAGUAUGGAAGAGGUGAGUGGAAUUCCGAGUGUAGAGGUGAAAUUCAUAGAUAUUCGGAGGAACACCAGUGGCGAAGGCGGCUCACUGGUCCAUUACUGACGCUGAGGUGCGAAAGCGUGGGGAGCAAACAGG
rnacentral:rRNA from 1 species